GCGAAGCGGUGACGUGGAGCAAAACUUAGAAAAGCAGUCUCAGUUCGGAUUGCAGGCUGCAACCCGCCUGCAUGAAGCCGGAAUCGCUAGUAAUCGCGGAUCAGAAUGCCGCGGUGAAUACGUUCCCGGGUCUUGUACACACCGCCCGUCACACCAUGGGAGUUGGGAAUGCCCGAAGUCAGUGACCCAACCGCAAGGAGGGAGCUGCCGAAGGCAGGCUUGAUAACUGGGGUGAAGUCGUAACAAGGUACC
rnacentral:rRNA from 1 species